AAGUGGACGAGAUUGAAGUGUACGGCAGCGAGGCCCAGUCGGGCACACAGCUGGCCACCUACUCCUUUGAGGUGAGAUUGAGGCAGCAGGGCCCCCAUCCCAGCCAAUGCCCCCCAGCAAGCCCCUGACUGUUGCUGUGCCACAGGUGUGUGACAGCAUCCUUAACAUCGGACCCUGCGCCAAUGCCGCCAUGGGCGAGCCUGCCUUCCUCUCUGAAGAGUUUCAGAACAGCCCUGAGCCGGACCUGGAGAUUGUGGUUUGCUCCGGCCACGGGAAGAACGGGGCUUUGUCGGUGCUGCAGAAGAGCAUCCGGCCCCAGGUGGUGACAACCUUUGAGCUUCCCGGCUGCUAUGACAUGUGGACAGUCAUCGCCCCACUGCGUAAGGAGGAGGAGGACAAUCCCAAGGGGGAGGGCACAGAGCAGGAACCCAGCACCCCUGAAGCAGACGACGACGGCCGCAGACACGGAUUCCUGAUUCUGAGCCGGGAAGACUCCACCAUGGU
rnacentral:sRNA from 1 species